GCACCUCACCUCCGCCUCCAAUCACGGCCGCCAGGAAUGCGCAGAAAGCUGCCCGCCAAGCGCCCAACUCGCCUCCAAUCACGGCCGCAAGCCAUGCCCCGCCUCGAUUCCUUACUCUCCAAUCCUGCCCUCCAAUCCCAGCCGCCAUCAGCGCCCUCCGUCAACUCCUACCAAAAUCGAGCCCUAGCCGUCAUCAGCGCCCUAGCCGCUACAUGCCAUGCGCUGCUUCGCCGCCAGUGCUCCAAAUCUCGGCCGUCAUCAGCGCCUCCCCAAUUGGAGGAGCUCAGCAUCAGCCACGGCCCCACCGCCUGGCCCCCAUCCACCCCCCGAAUUGGCAAGAACACGAUCUCAGCAGUACGUAUCUCCCCCACACCUCGCCCUCCAUCCACAUCCCCAAAUGGCGUGCCUUCCUGGAAUUAUAAGUCCGAAGGGAGGCCACACACGAGACCACCAAGCGGACACACGCGAGUACAUCCGACGCCCACCAUCAGCCAAGUGAUGGUCGAUUACGAGUUCAUCCUGCGCAAUUCUUUCUCUGUGUUCAGUAUGUUGUUCUUUUUGCUAUACAUGUGACUUUCGAAAGUCCUUGCAGGAGCCUACUUCUCAGUCGACAACUGGGUCGUCCUGCACUCCCGGCGUCGAGCCACCGCGGUGAAGACAAUUACCUACCCUCUGCAAUCCAACUAUAUAUAGAGAUCGACGUCAAAAGGAACCUAAGGCUUUGUAUUCAACAGGACCUUUACAAACGACUAACUUAAAUCGGCGAGAGUAGAGAAUAAGGCAAGGAUCUUCGAGCAGAAUGCCACUGAUAGUGAGUGCAAGGUCGAUCCUAAAGUGCUCUCCAAGCUAUAUGAUCCGUGGGUGAUGCCACAUACCAAGGAUGUCGAAGUUGAGUACCUCCUGCGCUGCCUUGACUAAUCACCGAUUAGCUGUAGCUGUAAAUUUUAUGUAUGCAUGGUUUCAGUUGUGCUCGAACCAAUUGUCUUGACCUUGAAUGGACAUUUUGAUGUUUAUUUCAUCUGAUGCGUCAUGUUUCAUGACGUAGACUUUCAUUUCUUGUGAUUGAUUUAUAGUGAACCUGUAAGAUGUAAAAUGACUUUUAUGACAAAACCAGCUGCAAGAACAGAGUAUUCUGAGAAACCUUUGUUGAAGUAAAUGUAAUU